rnacentral:rRNA from 1 species
UACGAAGGGGGCUAGCGUUGCUCGGAAUUACUGGGCGUAAAGCGCACGUAGGCGGGCUAUUAAGUCGGGGGUGAAAUCCUGGAGCUCAACUCCAGAACUGCCUUCGAAACUGAUAGUCUUGAGUUCGGGAGAGGUGAGUGGAACUGCGAGUGUAGAGGUGAAAUUCGUAGAUAUUCGCAAGAACACCAGUGGCGAAGGCGGCUCACUGGUCCGGUACUGACGCUGAGGUGCGAAAGCGUGGGGAGCAAACAGG